UUUCCAUUAGGAAAUUCUCAAUCCAAAUCAAACAAGAAUCAAUGCAGCGGAGGAGUGCUUGCAAUGGAAUAGCACAAUUUGUUCAGAGCAGGGUGGCGCUGACCAUCCAUCUGGAAACUGGCUGCACCAUAUUCAGCUCUGGCCUGUCCAGCAUCCCUCAAAGUUCUGUUGCCAGUUUAAAGAAGAGGAAAUGGUUAAUACAGGUGAUUGCAGUAUCCACUGUGGAAGGCUGGCAUUCAGUUAAAAGGGUUUACAAGACAAAUCAUGAAAAUGAAGUGUUUUCCUUGGAGCCACCCCAGGCCCAGAGAACAGUGACCCUGCAGAGCAUCGGUGUGUGCAAGGCUCGGGACUCGGCGCUGCAGCCUGGAAGGAUCUUGCACACAGCACCGGGCAGUGCCUCAGUGUGGCUUGGGAAUCCUCCUGCUCUACUUGUCCACUUGCUCAGAGCACAGGAUUAACAGAAAGGAGUCAAGUUUCUGUUUGCUUUCCCACUAGAGAUGGUUUCUGAAGUUUCCAGUCUGGAAUAUUUGACAUUUCAAGGACAUCACAACAUCCUGUUUCUCUUUCUAUAACCCUAUAUGUUUUUUCUGUUUCUAGUAGCCACUCCCAUUCUCUAAGGCUGUGGGAAUUUCCUGUAUUCCUGUACAGAAGAUAUGCUAGGAGUGAAGCUCCUAAGGAGGAAAACACAAAGAGCUGAUGUUUCAUUCUCUUCCUUAUUUCCCUUCUCUUAGCUAUUUGUCUUUCACCUCAGUAAAUAUUGAUGAAACUGAAUGCUGGAGAGGUGGGGUUCUCACUGUUAGUCAUACUUAAAGAUAUCAAUACACUUAAUUUUCAAAAUCCUACCCUAUGUCCAUUCUCCAACUGUGGCAAGUGUGCCACUUCUUUACUAUUAGUGAACUAGAUAUUUUGAUAUUAAAAAAAAAUCAAACUUAUAAUUUUCACUUUUUUUUUUUUUAUUUUCUCAGACAAUUUGUAAAAAAACACCCCAGAAUAAAUUUUUUAAAGUCAGAAAAAAAAAUAUCCA
ensembl:lncRNA